rnacentral:rRNA from 1 species
GACGAACGCUGGCGGCGUGCUUAACACAUGCAAGUCGAACGCUGAAGCUCAGCUUUUGUUGGGUGGAUGAGUGGCGAACGGGUGAGUAACACGUGAGUAACCUGCCUCCUUCUUUGGGAUAACGCCCGGAAACGGGUGCUAAUACUGGAUAUUCACUGGUCUUCGCAUGGGGGUUGGUGGAAAGGGUUUUUCUGGUGGGGGAUGGGCUCGCGGCCUAUCAGCUUGUUGGUGGGGUGAUGGCCUACCAAGGCUUUGACGGGUAGCCGGCCUGAGAGGGUGACCGGUCACAUUGGGACGGAGAUACGGCCCAGACUCCGACGGGAGGCAGCAGUGGGGAAUAUUGCACAAUGGGCGCAGGCCUGAUGCAGCGACGCCGCGUGAGGGAUGGAGGCCUUCGGGUUGUGAACCUCUUUCGCUCAUGGUCAAGCCGCAACAAUGGUUGUGGUGAGGGUAGUGGGUAAAGAAGCGCCGGCUAACUACGUG